ACACAAAUGGCCAAGGAGCUUUGAUCCAUCCACAGAGGGAGAGGACCUGGCUGAGGUGUUUGAGCCGCUGGGAGGGUAGAGAAGCUGAAAUGAAGGAAAGGGGAUGAGUAUUGCAUUCAUUUGUAAUGUUUUCCUGUUGAAAGCUGUUGUGCUUAUUGCAGAGUUGGUAGUACAUUUGGAGUUAGGAAAAACAAUGUCCUGUGUUAGCAAAAUAACAGUUUAGGUAGGAGGCUUUAUUACUGUUUGUGAUCCAAUUCCUGCCCUAAUGCUGAGGCUUUCUUAGUCUCUUGUGUUGGGCUCUGAGGACUCCUGUGCAUGCUGCCUGCAGCCUCCCUGCUCGCUGCGAGUGCUCUGCUUUGGUGCUGCGUGGGCGAGCGCUGGACACACGUUUGGUUCCAUCUCACAUUCAUCACUGACCUAGAAAAAUGUCUCUCACUGCACACCCAGCAGGACAGGAAACAUAACUCGAAGCAGAAAAUGGAACCGUCAGUUCCACACUCCUGCAUGUUAUAAUAUAAUCCAUUUUGUUAUCAUGUUUUCUAUUUUCCGAACUUUUAGUUAAUUACUAUUAAGGGUAGUAUUUUUUGGUAGCAUUCUGACUUUGUUAAUGCCACUGCUACUUGAGAAGGUGUCUGACAGAUGCUGAUUUAUUGGAAACCAUACUUUUUAAAGCCUAUUGUAACUGGACUAUGUGCUGGCUAUCGCAGCCAAUCCAAUGCAGCAUCCCUCUGCUUUCACAAUUCUUUAUUAGCCUCUCUGGCUGUCACAUCUUGCAGCCCAAAGCUUAACUUCUUUGAUUAAAUUACUUUGUGCAGAAAAUGUCUCAAUUCAGGAUGAGAACAGGUGGAUUUCACUGCGUGCCUUAUUUUCCAAUACUUUGUUGAGGCAAAAUCCAGACAUUAUUAAAAGCUUGUAUAAAAGCGUCUCUUUAAAGAAAACUGAAAAACAAACCAAGUAAAACUCAGAGCAUCUAGCAGUAGUUUAUAUAAUUAAAAGUACCCAUUUGAAACCACUGUGUGAGGAGCACUACCAUGAGUAUUACAUAUAUUGCCUAUUACAUGUAUUGAGCUAUUUGUGUUAAGCAAGGAUCCUUAUACGUAAUGAAAAUUCCUGCCACCUCAUGCAUUUUUUUGUCUUUAAGGGGUAGUUGCAGUCCAUCCUCAUUCAAAUAGCCAGAGGAACUUGAAAAGUCACUCUGCUUAGAAAACACCUGUUUUUUUUUCUUCCCCUAAUGUAGAAUAUAAACUUGUGAGGGAAAAUCAGGGGUACUGUCUGUGAUGUCAAUGCAAUACCUAGAACUACAAAAGCAAAAGGGACAAAUGGGGUGAAAUCUGAACACCACAGCCUCAAGCAGGGCGAGGAAUACAAAUGCACCCUGGCAGUGUUUGUGUCUGAGCAGGGAGUACAGUUGCUGCUUCUGUGCACUUGGAAGCGUGAAAACCAUCUUUGCUGAAAUUUUGCUGUCAAACUGAUGCUUGCUCAGGGACUGCUGGAGGAGGGAAAGUGAGCAAGCUGAAGCCUGCCUGCCUGCCUUCAGGGAGAUGUUCCUCGGCUGCUCGCAGAUGCCAGGGGCUGGCUUCGAAACGCUUCUUCCUGGCAAUGACGGUGUGCGUGUGCAGCCGGUGCCCCCCAGGAGCAGGCAGUUUCUGCAUGUUUGCUCUUAUUUUGAGUGAAGGCAAUAGCCCGCAUCUGUCCCAGUGCUGCCUCGCAAGGGUGACGUUUCACCUCACCAGAGCUGCCUGUUUCCUUCUCAUCUGUGAGUCAGUAGCAUGGGGAAAGCACGCAGCGUCCGCCUGCCUGCUGCACAGCUUCUGCACGCCGGCGAGUUUGCAAGUCCCUGGCAACCCAGUCCCUGCUCCUGCACACCUGCCUGCCUUGCAAAUGCUGCCACUGCAUGCACAGCUCCGUAACGAAGCUGAAAAUACCAUCUGCACUCGGUUAUGUUUUCAGACUCGGAAGGUGCAUCCUGGUAUUUGUAAAACACGCAGUUGUGAAAUCAGGCAUCCCUGGGCAGUCAGUCAUGUACGCAGGCUGUUCUUUGCAAGACUGAACUUUCACUUGUCUUCACAAACUUGAAUGGCAGACCACAAGAGACUCAUGACUAUUCAGGGCAUAAAAUAUAAUCCCACUUGCAAAACAAGUGUGCUUGCACUGCCUGCUCUGGGAAAAGAUGCUAAAUCAUUCUAAUCAACCACCUGGCAGAUUUGUACAGCCCUUUGCAUUACAAAUGGGGGCUCAACCUUGGACUUUCUGAUUUCUGCUUUUGAAACAGGGUAUGUAAUGUGCAGUGACAAAAACGCUGGAUAAAUUCUGCCUACAGGACAGACCCAGAGGAGAUCAAGUGCUCCAGAUUUUCUCUAUGAAAAGAAUACAGGGGAAAAAAAUAAAA